rnacentral:rRNA from 1 species
UACGUAGGGUGCGAGCGUUGUCCGGAAUUAUUGGGCGUAAAGAGCUUGUAGGCGGUUUGUCGCGUCUGCCGUGAAAAUCCGAGGCUCAACCUCGGACUUGCGGUGGGUACGGGCAGACUAGAGUGUGGUAGGGGAGACUGGAAUUCCUGGUGUAGCGGUGAAAUGCGCAGAUAUCAGGAGGAACACCGAUGGCGAAGGCAGGUCUCUGGGCCACUACUGACGCUGAGGCACGAAAGCGUGGGGAGCAAACAGG